rnacentral:lncRNA from 1 species
NUCCUUUGGGUUGCGAUCAACCCCCCGGCUGGCAAUAAUCAAAUCGGAGGAUCCUUCCAGUUUCCAUGACACGGCUCAACUGGUAAAUACCCUUUCUUGUUUAACUGGCUGCCCUGUAUUGGUUUGUUAUCUUGCAACUUGAGCAGAGACUUGGUUUUCCAUUUUUUUUCUUUUCUGUUUAUCUCCCUUAAAUCUUCAGUGAAAGAUACAUUCAUUGUAAUUCAGAAACUUGGGGAGUUGAAAUAGUUACUAUUCUUUCUUUCUUUUCAGUAUAUGCUAAGAGCUUUGAGAAAAUU